GUCCUGUCUGUCUUUGCAUCCUUCCCUCCCCUCUGUGUUUGGCUCCUCACUCCAAAAGAUCCACAGGUUCCCAGUGGCAGAUGUUCAGCAGAGAACUAAUUCUUGGUAAAGGAGGAUGGAUCUGCGCGAAGAGGAGAAUUUUGGAGACGAACUGGAGAUGAACAGAAGCACGCUGAUGGAUGGUUGUCAGCCACGGAACGCAGAAGAGGCAGGUCCUGAACCUUCCGAGCACAGAGAGGAGAGUCGCUAACCUGACCCCAAUCUGGCAAUCAGCACUUAGAUAAACCAGAGAUUAAAUACAAAAAAAAAAGCGUAUCUCUCAGUUGUUUCCUGUCCUCUUAGGGGCUUAUUCAAAUCUUUGUCAACACAUUCUAAGAAUAUUUUGUCUUACCUUCUACUUUACUUGCUUUAAACUUUCAAACUAUUUGGUAUCAUUCUCUGGCAUGGGCAGAGAGUUUUUUUUUUUUUUAAGAGUUUCUUUGGGGACCAUUAAAUAUAGUUUUUAAUCUG